CCUACGGGAGACAGCAGUGGGGGAUAUUGCACAAUGGGGGGAACCCUGAUGCAGCGACGCCGCGUGGGUGAAGAAGCGCCUCGGCGCGUAAAGCCCUGUCAGCAGGGAAGAAAAUGACGGUACCUGAAGAAGAAGCCCCGGCUAACUACGUGCCAGCAGCCGCGGUAAUACGGAGGGGGCAAGCGUUAUCCGGAUUUACUGGGGGUAAGGGGGGCGCAGACGGCGAUGCAAGCCAGUAGUGAAAGCCCGGGGCCCAACCCCGGGACUGCUCUUGGAACUGCGUGGCUGGAGUGCAGGAGGGGCAGGCGGAAUUCCUGGUGUAGCGGUGAAAUGCGUAGAUAUCAGGAGGAACACCGGUGGCGAAGGCGGCCUGCUGGACUGCAACUGACGUUGAGGCCCGAAAGCGUGGGGAGCAAACAGGAUUAGAUACCCCGGUAGUC
rnacentral:rRNA from 1 species